ACCACAUCCACGGAAGGCAGAGGUGCGCAAAUUAACCCAAUCCUGGACACAGGGGAAGUAGUGACAAGCAAUAACGAUGAUCAGCUUACAGUUGAAAUUCGGAAUGAGAACAAUGUAAAAGCCUUAUCGACCACCAAGUGGAGGGCAAGCCUGGUGCCAGCAGCCGCGGUAAUACCAGCUCCACUAGCGUAUACUAAAGUUGCUGCUGUUAAAACGCUCGUAGUUGGAUAUCAGUCGGGAGGGGCAGGGCUCGCGCGCGUAUGCGCCCGCAGCUCAUCCGGUCCGCCGGGCCCCCCGGACUUAAUUCAGAGCUGCCCAUCUGCCCGGUCAAACGGGUGGGCGGGCGUGUUCUGAUUAUUACUUUGAGAAAAUUAAAGUGCUCAAAGCAGGCAGGCGCCUGAAUGCAUUAGCAUGGGACGGUAGUUCACGACUUUGGCAGUUAGUUUUGUUGGUUUUGGGCCGGAGUAAUGAUUGAUAGAAACAAUCGGGGGUGCUAGUAUCGCCAGGCCAGAGGUAAAAUUCUUUGAUUCUGGUGAGACUACCUUAUGCGAAAGCAUUCACCAAGCGUGUUUUCUUUAAUCAAGAGCUAAAGCCGGGGGAUCGAAGACGAUCAGAUACCGUCGUAGUCCCAGCCAUAAACGAUGUCGAGUAAGCAUUGGGCAAUCAGACUUCCUCAGCGCUUUGUGAGAAAUCAAAGUUUUCGGACUCAGGGGGAAGUAUGCUCGCAAGAGUGAAAUUUAAAGGAAUUGACGGAAGGGCACCACCAGUUGUGGAGCCUGCGGCUCAAUUUGACUCAACACGGGAAAACUUACCAGGUCCAGACAUAGUCAGGAUUGACAGAUUGAAGUUCUUUCAUGAUUCUAUGAAUAGUGGUGCAUGGCCGUUCUUAGUUGGUGGAGUGAUUUGUACUGGUUAAUUCCGAUAACGAACGAGACUUCAGCCGUCUAACUAGCUGUCGCUAGCGAUGUACUGCUAGCGCUUGUUCGCAAGAUCAGCUUCUUAGAGGGACAAUCUGUGCUCAGCAGAUGGAAGCUUGAGGCUAUAACAGGUCAGUGAUGCCCUUAGAAGGUCUGGGCUGCACGCGCGCUACAAUGACCCAGUCAGCGGGCCGACCCGAGCCUGAGAAGGCGAGGUAAUCCCCAAACUGGGUCCAAGUUGGGAUAGAUGAUUGCAAUUAUUCAUCUUGAACAAGGAAUAUCUAGUAAACGCAAGUCAUCAACUUGCAUUGAUUACGUCCCUGCCCUUUGUACACACCGCCCGUCGCUCCUACCGAUUGAAUAAUCAGAUGAACUGAGUGGAUGGGGCGUAGUCCUUUACGCCCCCAAAGCUCCGUGAAUCUUAUUAUUAGAGGAAG
rnacentral:rRNA from 1 species